AGCUCUGUAAGCGUAUACCAAAGUUGUUGCAGUUAAAACGCUCGUAGUCGGACAUUGGCAGGUGCUGUGCGUAAGUUUCACGAUUUUCGCGCGGUGCCGGCCUUUGUGUGGAAUCGGGGCCGCUUUUGUUGCUUUACUGCAUCGGAGCGGAACCGCCACCGUUUACUGUGAAAAAAUUAGAGUGUUCAAAGCGGGCGUUUGCCAUGAAUACAUUAGCAUGGAAUAAUAGAAUAGGACCUGGUCCUGUUUUAUUGGUUUGUAAGUAUCAGGUAAUGAUUAAGAGGGACGGUUGGGGGCAUUUGUAUUCCGGCGUCAGAGGUGAAAUUCUUGGAUUGCCGGAAGACAAACAGCUGCGAAAGCGUCUGCCAAGGACGUUUUCA
rnacentral:rRNA from 1 species